CAGAUAAUUGUCCCAAGAAUGCUCUUUUUGCUAUAUUUGAUAACCUUUUGAAUUCUGUGGUAAUAAGCCUGUAAGUCUGCAAUUGAUAUUUUUCAUGCUUCACACCUGAUAAACUGAUCAAAAAGCCACUUUGUCAAGAUACUUAGUCACUGACUUUAAUUUUACUUGAGCUACAUAAUAUUUGUCUACAAUUGUAUUUGCACUAAAUGUGGGCCUGUUUUACUAGAAUGAUGUAUCAGGGAAGUAAAGAAUCCAGCAUGUUACUUUC
rnacentral:lncRNA from 1 species